UACGUAGGGGGGCGAGCCGUUAGUCCGGAAUCGAUUGGGCGUAAAGAGCGUGUAGGCGGCUUGGCAAGUCUGACGUGAAAGCCCGCGGCUCAACCGCGGAUUGUCGUUGGAAACUGCCUCGCUAGAGUCCGGAAGAGGAGAGCGGAAUUCCUGGUGUAGCGGUGGAAUGCGCAGAUAUCAGGAGGAACACCAAUUGCGAAGGCAGCUCGCUGGGACGUUACUGACGCUGAGACGCGAAAGCGUGGGAGCGAACAGG
rnacentral:rRNA from 1 species